rnacentral:rRNA from 1 species
CACGUAGUUAGCCGGGGCUUCUUAGUCAGGUACCGUCAUUUUCUUCCCUGCUGAUAGAGCUUUACAUACCGAAAUACUUCUUCACUCACGCGGCGUCGCUGCAUCAGGGUUUCCCCCAUUGUGCAAUAUUCCCCACUGCUGCCUCCCGCAGGAGUCUGGGCCGUGUCUCAGUCCCAAUGUGGCCGUUCACCCUCUCAGGCCGGCUACUGAUCGUCGCUUUGGUAGGCCGUUACCCUGCCAACUGGCUAAUCAGACGCGGGUCCAUCUCACACCGAUAAAAUCUUUUCCGUCAGUGCCAUGCGGCACCAGCGGGUUAUGCGGUAUUAGCGGUCGUUUCCAACUGUUAUCCCCCUGUGUGAGGCAGGUUACCCACGCGUUACUCACCCGUCCGCCACUCAGUCACAAGAGACUUCAUCCGAAGAAUCAUUCUCAGGUGCUUCGUUCGACUUGCAUGUGUUAAGCACGCCGCCAGCGUUCAUCCUGAGCCAGGAUA